AUUGAACGCUGGCGGCAGGCUUAACACAUGCAAGUCGAGCGGUAGCACAGGGGAGCUUGCUCCCUGGGUGACGAGCGGCGGACGGGUGAGGAAUGUCUGGGAAACUGCCUGAUGGAGGGGGAUAACUACUGGAAACGGUAGCUAAUACCGCAUAACGUCGCAAGACCAAAGAGGGGGACCUUCGGGCCUCUUGCCAUCAGAUGUGCCCAGAUGGGAUUAGCUAGUAGGUGGGGUAAUGGCUCACCUAGGCGACGAUCCCUAGCUGGUCUGAGAGGAUGACCAGCCACACUGGAACUGAGACACGGUCCAGACUCCUACGGGAGGCAGCAGUGGGGAAUAUUGCACAAUGGGCGCAAGCCUGAUGCAGCCAUGCCGCGUGUGUGAAGAAGGCCUUCGGGUUGUAAAGCACUUUCAGCGAGGAGGAAGGUGGUGAACUUAAUACGUUCAUCAAUUGACGUUACUCGCAGAAGAAGCACCGGCUAACUCCGUG
rnacentral:rRNA from 1 species